rnacentral:snRNA from 1 species
GUCUGUCAUAUACAGAAAUUAGAGUGAUACAGAGAUUAGGAUGACCCCUGCACAAGGAUGACACGCAAAUUUGUGAAGUGUUCCAUAUUAAA